CCGAGCCCGAGCCGCACCACGUGUACGGUGUUGACUGUCAAGGCGUCCAGGAGCCCGGUUCCCGGAAGCGGUGAGUCCCGACGCUGCGAACCCCGAACCAUGAGCGCCCCGGGCGUGCUGUCGUUCACCCAGCAAGGCUGGGAGCAGGUGCUGGCCAAAGUGAAACGCGCGCUCGUCUACCUGGACGCCGCCUGCGCCGAGAGCCUGCACUGGGGCUGCGGAGCGUCGCGGCUGCUGGAGGCGGUGGGAGGCCCGGCGUGUCACCUGCGGGAGUUCGAGCCCGCGGCCGUGGGCGGGGGCGCCGAGCAGCCCAAGGCCGUGUUCGUGCUGAGCUGCCUGCUGAAGGGCCGGACCGUGGAGACCCUCCGGGAGAUCAUCGGCCGCAGUCGCUUCCAGUACUGCGUGGUGGUCACCGCCGUGAGCCACGCUGCCCACCUCACCGCUAAUCACGUGCCGGCGGCUGCAGCGGCGGAGCUGGAGGGGCAGCCGGUGUUCGAGCAGCUGGAGGAGAAGCUGUGUGAGUGGAUGGGCAACAUGAACUACACGGCCGAGGUGCUGCACGUCCCGCUGUGGCUCGCCCCCGUGGCGCCCCACCUUGCUUUGACCCCGGCCUUUGCUUCCCUCUUCCCGCUACUGCCCCGGGAUGUGCAUCUCCUCAACAGGGCUCGUCCAGACAAGAGGAGGCUAGGAAGCCUGAGCGAGGUGGAUGCCGCCGCCCUGCCCCCCGAGCUGCUUCUGCAGAUCAGGUGCCUGGUGUCAGGCCUCAGUUCUCUGUGUGAACAUUUGGGGGUGCGGGAGGAGUGUUUUGCUGUAGGUUCCCUCAGCCGGAUCAUCGCUGCAGAUCUGGCUAGUUACGCCCCUGCCAAGAACAGGAGGAAGACCGCCGCGGGCAGGGCCUCAGUGGUCUUUGUGGACAGGACUCUGGAUCUCACGGGAGCAGCUGGGCAUCAUGGAGACAACUUGGUAGAGAAGAUUAUUUCAGUGCUUCCCCAGCUUCCAGGCCACACCAACGAUGUGAUGGUUAACAUGGUGGAACUUACAGCACUCCAGAAUGAGGAGAAAAAUCAAAGUAUGAUUGCACCAGGCUGUCUUGCACAAUCCAAUGACACAGCUGCCAAAGCUCUGUGGGAAGCCUUACUGAGCACCAAGCAUAAAGAGGCAGUGAUGGAAGUCCGGAGACAUCUAGUGGAAGCAGCAAGCAGAGAAAACCUGCCAAUCAAAAUGAGUAUGGGAAGAGUCACCCCAGGGCAGCUCAUGUCCUAUAUUCAGCUCUUUAAGAACAAUCUCAAAGCUAUAGUGAAUCACUGUGGGCUUCUACAGCUUGGGCUGGCCACAGUUCAAACCCUGAAACACCCGCAGACUGCCAAGUGGGACAACUUCCUGGCUUUUGAAAGACUCCUCCUCCAGAGCAUUGGGGAGUCGACAAUGUCUGUUGUGUUAAAUCAGCUGCUGCCCAUGAUUAAGCCUUUGAACCAGAGGACCAAGGAUGACUACAGCCCUGAAGAGCUGUUGAUCCUCCUGAUAUAUGUUUACUCUGUCAGUGGAGAGUUCACAGUGGACAAAGACCUGGGAGAAGCUGAUGAAAAAGUGAAGGAAGCAUUGGCUCGGGUCUUUUGUGAAGAAUCUGAGUUGUCACCUUUGCUACAAAAAAUCACAGGCUGUGACUCUUCAAUUAAGCUGACAUUUCACAAAUCCAAAAUUGCUGUGGAUGAGCUCUUUGCCUCGCUUCGGGAUAUCGCUGGAGCUCGGAAUCUCAUGAAACAGUUUAAGUCUGUGUAUGUUCCUGGAAACCAUACCCACCAGGCAUCCUAUAAGCCAUUGUUGAAGCAGGUUGUGGAAGAAAUAUUUAAUCCUGAGAGGCCAGAUCCAGUGGAUAUUGAACACAUGUCUUCAGGCCUCACUGAUCUCCUUAAAACUGGAUUUAGCAUGUUUAUGAAGGUGAGCCGGCCUCAUCCCAGCGACCACCCUCUGCUGAUCCUCUUCGUGGUGGGCGGAGUCACUGUCUCCGAAGCCAAGAUGCUCAAAGACCUCGUGCCGUCCCUGAAGCCGGGAACCCAGGCUCCAGAUACCUGAGGGCGACUCCCAGGGACCACGUCCCCACCGUGGCACCUGGAGGGCUGGAGGAAUUGGGGGAGGCACGUCAUCAAGGCAGUGACACACGAGGAGAUUCGGCUGCUGGCACGAUGCUUGGGGAGCCCGGGGAGGCACCCUGGGCGCAGAGCCCCUGCCCUGCCUCCGGAAGUUCCAUCUGUCUGGGGAAGCGGAGCCUGUCACGCGGUCAUCGUGCUGUCCACGCGACUCCUGAAGCCGCUUAACAUUCCUGAGCUGUUAUUUGCCACCGACCGGCUGCAUCCAGACCUUGGCUUCUGAGCGAUGCUGCUGCUGCGAUGACACCUGCCCGUGGUGGAAACACCUGUAUUGCCGCCUGUCGCCCUUCACGACCCGCCUCCGAAACCAACGUCCUCUGCCCAUUGUGGGGAGGACGGAAUUCUCCCUGAAGGGUCUUGACCACACGUAGCGAAGGACUGCGCUCGGAUUGCCAGCGAUUCUUUAAAAAAAAAAAAAAAAAAAUCAUCUUCCUAAAGGUAUCAAACUUUCGGCCUGCUUCACUCAACCUAAUUCUCAUUUCUCCUUCGCCCUGUUGACCUUCCCGAUUCCAAGGGCAAGGUUGUCAGCGCUACGUAAACACCUGUUGGCAAGCGCUGGCGGAUUACGAGCCGUUUGGUCUGCAGUCGCUCAAGAAAUGAGACCUGCUUUGGACUUCCGGGUGCGAGGGAAGUGUGGCUUUCCCUAAGAUCAUGUAACUGGGGGGAACAUUGCAGAUGGGAUCUGGGACCUCGCUGAGAGGCCGGAGGGGCGGGUGGCAGCCGGGGCCUGCCCUGUCCACCCAUCCGGCCACUGUCCCCCGUGCUCGCACGCAGGCCCACCGGCCCACUUGGAACAGUGGUGGGGGAGGUGGAUUGGGCGGCUGUCCCUGCCUAGCAAAGGGCUUCCUCCCCGCCCAAGGGAAGGCCCCCUAAAGGUGUCUGGUCCAGGGAGUCCAGACGGGGACCCCGACCCCCGGGACCUCCAGGAGUCCACGUUUCUACUGAAAUAGAAAGCUCGCUUUUUCUGUUGGUCUGACUUUUCCUUCCGGUUAUGACAGAAAACCCUCGACCCCACGAGUGAAGCUAGUUAAGAACCCCGGCAAACAUUAACUGCUUGGAACCCAGCUAUGCAUUUGUGUAGGUGUAGGGUUCGCGGAAAUUUCUAGCGCCUCCGAAAGAUGUUUGUAAUGAAGAGGGGAAGCGGAAAAACCGCUCUAGAGUGGAUUAAACAGGUAGGGACGCGAAAUGUCAAUCAAAACACUCACACAUGUCUCAGAUUUUAGUUCCCUCUAAAAUAAUGUCAUUUUAUGAAAAAGACUGUGAAGUUGGAAAGCAUUCGGAGACACGAUCACAGCAGGUCUUAUAUACACCAGUGUUCUUUUUCUUUCCUUUUUCCUUUUUUUUUUUUUUUUUUCUUUUUUUGGUCCGAGUAUGCUUUCCAGCUAACUCCAGUGGUGCUGAUCCUGGAGAGCCCCCACGCCUCUUUCAUUCCUCUUUAUCUAGAAGCUUGAAUCUGAGGAAGGAAGAAAAUGGCAAUAGCCCGAAAGAAAUGGUAAUUACAGCAGAGAUCGCUCUUUUCUAAAAUUAAAAAUAAUAAUAAUAAUAAUAACCUGUUA